rnacentral:rRNA from 1 species
GACGAACGCUGGCGGCGUGCCUAAUACAUGCAAGCUGAGCGCUGAAGGUUGGUACUUGUACCAACUGGAUGAGCAGCGAACGGGUGAGUAACGCGUGGGGAAUCUGCCUUUGAGCGGGGGACAACAUUUGGAAACGAAUGCUAAUACCGCAUAAAAACUUUAAACACAAGUUUUAAGUUUGAAAGAUGCAAUUGCAUCACUCAAAGAUGACCCCGCGUUGUAUUAGCUAGUUGGUGAGGUAAAGGCUCACCAAGGCGAUGAUACAUAGCCGACCUGAGAGGGUGAUCGGCCACAUUGGGACUGAGACACGGCCCAAACUCCUACGGGAGGCAGCAGUAGGGAAUCUUCGGCAAUGGACGAAAGUCUGACCGAGCAACGCCGCGUGAGUGAAGAAGGUUUUCGGAUCGUAAAACUCUGUUGGUAGAGAAGAACGUUGGUGAGAGUGGAAAGCUCAUCAAGUGACGGUAACUACCCAGAAAGGGACGGCUAACUACGUG